GUUGAUGUUCCAACCCUGAUAUCAGGCUCUAUCCAGAAAGAGAUUUAAACCUUCAGAGUUUAAUUCUCAAGCUGGCGAAGGAUAAUGACGCCGUGAGCCCGUGGGAAGGAAGAAGAGCAAGGCUAUUCGCAAAAUGCUCAGAAAGAAGAAUGAUUCGUUCACUCUCUCUGCCAAGGUGGCCGCCGCUAUUGCUGCCAAGAAGCGCCGCCAAGCCUGGGAAUGCGCUUAAACCUGCCUACUAUUGAUGAUCCAUCCAAUGGUCAUCACGGGAAAGGAAUUCAAAAGAACAACGCCUGAAAAUAAGAAACUUGCCAUGAGAGAAAAAUUCCUCGUUGGGUAUUUUUGUAAUUUCAGCACAAAGGGUAUUUUUGUAAUUUCAGCACAAAGGGACAAACUAGGAUUUAGUGUGAUUCUUCUAGUAAUCAAAUGCUUGACCUUGCAAAAUUACUAUUCUGGUCCCUUUGUCUUGAAAUUACAAAAACAUCCUCUUCAACCUGUAUCGGUUGACUCAUUGGGGACUGGGGACUAGAGUUUCUAGAGUGUUAUUCUAUGAGGGAAAGAUACGAUAGCAACCAUUGAAAACAUAGCCACCAUUGAGGAAGUUGCAUGAGUUCUUUAUAGUGAAGCUGAUGCACUUUUGAGAAAAGAGAAGCAAGCCUUAACUUUUGCCUGGCCUUGCAUUCCGUGUACCUUCCCAAGAAAAAGCUGUACAGAUCCCCUAUUAAUAACCAGCAGAAGAGACUUUACAAGCUUAUUUGGAAGACUCAUUUACCCUCAUUCGGUUGAAAGCUUUCACGUGGCUACUUGCAGAGAAGGCUCCUCACCAAGGCAGUGCGACAAAGAAGAAUGAUGACAGAUUAAAGCGCCAAAUGCUCUGUUUGAGUCUAUUGUUGUUGGCACAGAUAGCUCUGCCCAUCUGAAUGCUGUCAGGGUGAUGAAGAAUGUCUUGUCUAAUAUUUGGCUAGAUCCCGCCAAUUGCAGGUGUUUGGAAGCUUAGCACGGAUGUUUGCCAAAUUCGAAACCAUACAAAAGAUCUUAACUUCGAAAUAAAGACCCAAUAUUUCUAGGAUAUAUCAAACAGCAAGAUAUAGAAAUAGAAAUGAAAUAGGUAGUUAGAUUUUACAAUUUAUUGCAACUAGAAUGAGUCGCUCAAUAGAAUUAUGAUGUAACAAUAAUUGAAGAAAGAAACUUAUAAAAAUAUGUGUUGAAAGAUUCAGCAAAUGCAAAAUAUGUUAGUCACACUUUCCCUCACCUUGAGUCCAGGGAAAUGGGAUUCCUCACUCUCAAGUUGUUAUUCUUUUCUACUGUUAUUCUAUUUUACCUAUUACAAUAUAACUCCUUUUUGAAUAUUGAGAUCUUAAA